rnacentral:rRNA from 1 species
GAUGAACGCUGGCGGCGUGCCUAAUACAUGCAAGUCGAGCGAACAGACGAGGAGCUUGCUCCUCUGACGUUAGCGGCGGACGGGUGAGUAACACGUGGAUAACCUACCUAUAAGACUGGGAUAACUUCGGGAAACCGGAGCUAAUACCGGAUAACAUGUUGAACCGCAUGGUUUAACAGUGAAAGACGGUCUUGCUGUCACUUAUAGAUGGAUCCGCGCCGCAUUAGCUAGUUGGUAAGGUAACGGCUUACCAAGGCAACGAUGCGUAGCCGACCUGAGAGGGUGAUCGGCCACACUGGAACUGAGACACGGUCCAGACUCCUACGGGAGGCAGCAGUAGGGAAUCUUCCGCAAUGGGCGAAAGCCUGACGGAGCAACGCUGCGUGAGUGAAGAAGGUCUUCGGAUCGUAAAACUCUGUUAUUAGGGAAGAACAAAUGUGUAAGUAACUAUGCACGUCUUGACGGUACCUAAUCAGAAAGCCACGGCUAACUACGUG